AUUGAACGCUGGCGGCAGGCCUAACACAUGCAAGUCGAGCGGUAGCACAGAGAGCUUGCUCUUGGGUGACGAGUGGCGGACGGGUGAGUAAUGUCUGGGAAACUGCCCGAUGGAGGGGGAUAACUACUGGAAACGGUAGCUAAUACCGCAUAACGUCUUAGGACCAAAGUGGGGGACCUACGGGCCUAACACAAUCGGAUGUGCCCAGAUGGGAUUAGCUAGUAGGUGGGGUAAUGGUUCACCUAGGCGACGAUCCCUAGCUGGUCUGAGAGGAUGACCAGCCACACUGGAACUGAGACACGGUCCAGACUCCUACGGGAGGCAGCAGUGGGGAAUAUUGCACAAUGGGCGCAAGCCUGAUGCAGCCAUGCCGCGUGUAUGAAGAAGGCCUUCGGGUUGUAAAGUACUUUCAGCGGGGAGGAAGGCGGUGGAGUUAAUAACUUCACCGAUUGACGUUACCCGCAGAAGAAGCACCGGCUAACUCCGUGCCAGCCGCCGCGGUAA
rnacentral:rRNA from 1 species